rnacentral:tRNA from 1 species
AUUUUAAUAGCUUAUAGUUAGAGCGUGAUAUUGAAGAUAUCAAUGAGAAUAUAUUUUCUUAAAGUA